rnacentral:rRNA from 1 species
GAUGAACGCUGGCGGCGUGCCUAAUACAUGCAAGUCGAGCGAACAGACGAGGAGCUUGCUCCUCUGACGUUAGCGGCGGACGGGUGAGUAACACGUGGAUAACCUACCUAUAAGACUGGGAUAACUUCGGGAAACCGGAGCUAAUACCGGAUAAUAUAUUGAACCGCAUUGUUCAAUAGUGAAAGACGGUUUUGCUGUCACUUAUAGAUGGAUCCGCGCCGCAUUAGCUAGUUGGUAAGGUAACGGCUUACCAAGGCAACGAUGCGUAGCCGACCUGAGAGGGUGAUCGGCCACAAUGGAAAUGAGACACGGUCCAGACUCCUAAGGGAGGAAGCAGUAGGGAAUCUACCGCAAUGGGCGAAAGACUGACGGAGCAACGACGCGUGAGUGAUGAAGGUCUUCGGAUCGUAAAACUCUGUUAUUAGGGAAGAACAAAUGUGUAAGUAACUAUGCACGUCUUGACGGUACCUAAUCAGAAAACCACGGCUAACUACGUG